rnacentral:lncRNA from 1 species
CACACGUGUUUGUGCGUGUCUGUGUGUCUGUCUGUCUGUCUCCAUCUGUCUCUGUAUCUCUCUGAUAGCUCUUGAUUAAUGGAACCUAUAUUAUGAGGAUUUGGGAAGCUGAGGCAGGAGGAUCAGGAGUUCAAGGCAUCCUCAGUUUGCCGAUGUCAGUAGAUCCACUUCUUCAGGGUUCCUUAGGGGCACAGUUACCUGGACCAGUGGCAGAGGAGUAAAACCCAUUGUCUGAAGGCUCUAAAGAGGAGAGAUGGGCGGUUUAGGCUUAAGCACAGUUUCUGGAAGGAUAGCAGGUUUUCUGAUAUCCCUCCAUACCCACUCUCCAUCAGCUUCUCCCUGGACAGCUCUCCUGGGCUCCUGGCUGGGAGCCUGACUGGGACCAGUCAGAGGGAAGACCCUGUUGGAGUCUGGAGAGGAGAGGAGAG